UACGUAGGUGGCGAGCGUUGUCCGGAUUUACUGGGCGUAAAGAGCGCGCAGGCGGUCGAUCAAGUCGGAUGUGAAAGCCCCCGGCUCAACUGGGGAGGGUCAUUCGAUACUGGUCGACUCGAAGGCAGGAGAGGGAAGCGGAAUUCCCGGUGUAGUGGUGAAAUGCGUAGAUAUCGGGAGGAACACCAGUGGCGAAGGCGGCUUCCUGGCCUGUUCUUGACGCUGAGGCGCGAAAGCUAGGGGAGCGAACGGG
rnacentral:rRNA from 1 species